GUGGGGAAUAUUGGGCAAUGGGGGAAACCCUGACCCAGCAACGCCGCGUGAGGGAAGAAGGUUUUCGGAUUGUAAACCUCUGUCCUUGGUGACGAAGGAAGUGACGGUAACCAAGGAGGAAGCCCCGGCUAACUACGUGCCAGCAGCCGCGGUAAUACGUAGGGGGCAAGCGUUGUCCGGAAUGACUGGGCGUAAAGGGCGUGUAGGCGGCCGAUUAAGUCUGGAGUGAAAGUCCUGCUUUCAAGGUGGGAAUUGCUUUGGAGACUGGUUGGCUUGAGUGCGGAAGAGGUAAGUGGAAUUCCCAGUGUAGCGGUGAAAUGCGUAGAGAUUGGGAGGAACACCAGUGGCGAAGGCGCCUUUCUGGACUGUGUCUGACGCUGAGAUGCGAAAGCCAGGGUAGCGAACGGGAUUAGAAACCCUAGUAGUCC
rnacentral:rRNA from 1 species